UUGAUCAUGGCUCAGAUUGAACGCUGGCGGCAGGCCUAACACAUGCAAGUCGAACGGUAACAGGAAACAGCUUGCUGUUUCGCUGACGAGUGGCGGACGGGCGAGUAAUGUCUGGGAAACUGCCUGAUGGAGGGGGAUAACUACUGGAAACGGUAGCUAAUACCGCAUAACGUCGCAAGACCAAAGAGGGGGACCUUCGGGCCUCUUGCCAUCAGAUGUGCCCAGAUGGGAUUAGCUAGUAGGUGGGGUAACGGCUCACCUAGGCGACGAUCCCUAGCUGGUCUGAGAGGAUGACCAGCCACACUGGAACUGAGACACGGUCCAGACUCCUACGGGAGGCAGCAGUGGGGAAUAUUGCACAAUGGGCGCAAGCCUGAUGCAGCCAUGCCGCGUGUAUGAAGAAGGCCUUCGGGUUGUAAAUACUUUUUCAGCGGGGANGAANGNANUAAAGUUAAUACCUUUGCUCAUUGACGUUACCCGCAGAAGAAGCACCGGCUAACUCCGUGCCAGCAGCCGCGGUAAUACGGAGGGUGCAAGCGUUAAUCGGAAUUACUGGGCGUAAAGCGCACGCAGGCGGUUUGUUAAGUCAGAUGUGAAAUCCCCGGGCUCAACCUGGGAACUGCAUCUGAUACUGGCAAGCUUGAGUCUCGUAGAGGGGGGUAGAAUUCCAGGUGUAGCGGUGAAAUGCGUANAGAUCUGGAGGAAUACCGGUGGCGAAGGCGGCCCCCUGGACGAAGACUGACGCUCAGGUGCGAAAGCGUGGGGAGCAAACAGGAUUAGAUACCCUGGUAGUCCACGCCGUAAACGAUGUCGACUUGGAGGUUGUGCCCUUGAGGCGUGGCUUCCGGAGCUAACGCGUUAAGUCGACCGCCUGGGGAGUACGGCCGCAAGGUUAAAACUCAAAUGAAUUGACGGGGGCCCGCACAAGCGGUGGAGCAUGUGGUUUAAUUCGAUGCAACGCGAAGAACCUUACCUGGUCUUGACAUCCACGGAAGUUUUCAGAGAUGAGAAUGUGCCUUCGGGAACCGUGAGACAGGUGCUGCAUGGCUGUCGUCAGCUCGUGUUGUGAAAUGUUGGGUUAAGUCCCGCAACGAGCGCAACCCUUAUCCUUUGUUGCCAGCGGUCCGGCCGGGAACUCAAAGGAGACUGCCAGUGAUAAACUGGAGGAAGGUGGGGAUGACGUCAAGUCAUCAUGGCCCUUACGACCAGGGCUACACACGUGCUACAAUGGCGCAUACAAAGAGAAGCGACCUCGCGAGAGCAAGCGGACCUCAUAAAGUGCGUCGUAGUCCGGAUUGGAGUCUGCAACUCGACACCAUGAAGUCGGAAUCGCUAGUAAUCGUGGAUCAGAAUGCCACGGUGAAUACGUUCCCGGGCCUUGUACACACCGCCCGUCACACCAUGGGAGUGGGUUGCAAAAGAAGUAGGUAGCUUAACCUUCGGGAGGGCGCUUACCACUUUGUGAUUCAUGACUGGGGUGAAGUCGUAACAAGGUAACCA
rnacentral:rRNA from 1 species